GGGGGUAUAGCUCAGCUGGGAGAGCAGCAGACUGAAGCAUACUCGGUUUCUGAAGGUCCCGCGUUCGAUCCGCGGUACCCCCA